ACAAAAUUCGUGUACGCGCAGCAUCGCAGAACGUAAGAGCUGGUAAGCGCUAACGAACGAUACGCGCAGAACGAUAUUUGACUUGAAUUUGACGUGUAUGUAUGUAAAGGGCACUACCGAAUCCUUUGUAGGCGAGAGGUUCGAAAGCAUUUAUAAAAAUGGCGUCAUCCGGCGCCACUACGUGUGGAUAAUUUUACUGGCUGCCGCAAGAUGACGUUCGCUGUUUAUCAACUGUAUUUGGGUAACUUUCAAAGUUGGCUAUCCGCCGUCUUUAGAUGACGCUAUCGGCAUCCGAGCUCACGGCUAUUCUUGGCGAUAUUACGCGCGCCAUUGCAAUUCACCGUUAGCAAACGAGAAAGAGAGAGAAAUGAUGAGGCAUACAGGAAAAGAAGGGCGUGAAUCGCGUGGGUACACUGGCGAAGAGAGGAGAAGGAACUUUCCCCGCCCUCCUCUUUUCCCCCUCUUUGGGCUGUGAGGUCGACCUAAAUGGAUUUCCACUGUGCAGUGUCUAUCGUGAUGAAACCGUCAGGAAACCAAACAGUUCCGUGUGCGGAGCAGUUCGCCGGCGUCCUUUCGCGUUCUUUCGCCAGAAGGACUCACGUCGGUAUUACGCUCUACGCGUGAGAGUGCAGGACAACGUGCAGAAGAAGGACGGACGGGCGUGGAUCCUUGGGCUGGACACGGAACGCCGGAGCGGCGGAGCAGAGCAGGGCACGUCAGGCCAAGGGAGCAAUGUCCCUUCAGAGUUAUCCCCUUCCUCGAGCUAUCGCGCGUACUUGCGACGGAGAGGUAUGUACGCCGUUACUUGCUUCCAUGCGCACUCUCUCUUCCCGGUCACGGCGCGGUCGCUCGCUUUUUAUGGCAGAGAGCCGCAAGCCCGAAUAUCUCUUGUACGAGGCUUUCCCGAAAGAGUUUCCCGCCGCAUACGAUUUCACGUUUCAACCCCACGCAGCAGAGCGGUUGCGCGUAUAAACAGCCAGCGAGAUUUUCGUUGAGCUCUUUGAUUGAGGUGUGUAAUAAAAGAAAAAGAACGCAAUCUAUGA